AGAGUUUGAUCCUGGCUCAGAUUGAACGCUGGCGGCAUGCCUUACACAUGCAAGUCGAACGGCAACAGGUCUUCGGAUGCUGACGAGUGGCGAACGGGUGAGUAAUACAUCGGAACGUGCCCGAGAGUGGGGGAUAACGAAGCGAAAGCUUUGCUAAUACCGCAUACGAUCUCAGGAUGAAAGCAGGGGACCGCAAGGCCUUGCGCUCACGGAGCGGCCGAUGGCAGAUUAGGUAGUUGGUGGGAUAAAAGCUUACCAAGCCGACGAUCUGUAGCUGGUCUGAGAGGACGACCAGCCACACUGGGACUGAGACACGGCCCAGACUCCUACGGGAGGCAGCAGUGGGGAAUUUUGGACAAUGGGCGCAAGCCUGAUCCAGCCAUGCCGCGUGCAGGAUGAAGGCCUUCGGGUUGUAAACUGCUUUUGUACGGAACGAAAAGACUCUGGUUAAUACCUGGGGUCCAUGACGGUACCGUAAGAAUAAGCACCGGCUAACUACGUGCCAGCAGCCGCGGUAAUACGUAGGGUGCGAGCGUUAAUCGGAAUUACUGGGCGUAAAGCGUGCGCAGGCGGUUAUAUAAGACAGAUGUGAAAUCCCCGGGCUCAACCUGGGAACUGCAUUUGUGACUGUAUAGCUAGAGUACGGCAGAGGGGGAUGGAAUUCCGCGUGUAGCAGUGAAAUGCGUAGAUAUGCGGAGGAACACCGAUGGCGAAGGCAAUCCCCUGGGCCUGUACUGACGCUCAUGCACGAAAAGCGUGGGGAGCAAACAGGAUUAGAU
rnacentral:rRNA from 1 species